GAUAUUUCAUAUAUAUUUUGCACUUUCUCUUUCUUGACAAGCAAACAAGCAAUUGAGGAAAGAAAUACUGGGAAUCUUUCUUGACAAGCAAACAAGCAAUCGAGGAAAGAAAUACUGGGAAUCAAUUAAUCGUAGAGAAGUCAAAUCAGAAGAGCAUACCAGUAAUGUUCUUAUCCCUUGGAGCAUCAACCAACAGUGCAGGUCCUGAUCAAAUCAACAGAUAAAAUCAAUAAGUAAAAUCCAUAGUCACAUUUCCUCAAAGUUAUUCUAAAAACAAACACAUCUUUUAUGUUCUCCUAUUGUUAAAGCUUCUUCCUAAAUCCUCACUCUCAUUGGCCGGAAGAAUAGUGUUUGGGAUUUCAAAGGGGUUCAAGACAAUUCCUGAAUAUUUAAUUCCGAAAAUGACUGAAAAUGAAAGCCCAUACUUGACUUUUGCUCUGUACUCCAUAUGUUUUUGUUUCCUUGACUUUCUAAAAACAGGAAAUAAAAACAAUUUCAUAAAUCAAAACAUAACCCUAAUGUUUGUGAUAUUUUAGGUAGGACUCUUUCCAAGCUCAGGCGUAGUUUUGGAAAUGACAGUUUUGCCCAUUCAGUUCCUGUGUAUGCUGUUUUCGCCUUUGUGAUUUGCCUCCUCCAGGCGAGUAUACUUUUCCUUUCUUUUGAGAUAAGACUUUCCCAAAUCCUUAUUUUAUUAGAAAAAAAUUUCCUUUUCUGUUUGACAUUUUCUCGACAACCAAGCAGCAAGUUUGGAUGAUUACCGUUGAGAACUUCAAGGUCAAGAGUCUCGACGUCGAAGCCAGCAUCGAAGUAGUGGUCGAAGACGUGGCCCGGCGAGUCAACGUGCGUGCCGGUAUGAGUGGGCAUUUUCAUGUGAGAGUUAUUGGUGAUAGAUCCGUUCUUCAUACUCUUCUCCAACCAUAUGACCUCGCCGAUUCCCUCGUCGGUCCCAAAGGUGGGCAUGUUGGGGGUGUAUGGGUGAGUGAUGUCGAAGAUACGUCCGUCGGCGUAGACCUCUCGUUUCACGGGGAUGAGCUCGACGUUGCAGGAGCCCGAGCCGUAGGCAGAGGGAUAAGCCUCGGAGGCGAAGGAAGAGGGGAGGAAGAGAGUGGCCACAGUGACCACCCCGGCGCAGAGCAGUGGGAGCAACAGCGAGGAUCCCAUGGUGGUGAAGAUUGAAGAAGAGAGAAGAGUCACUGAGGGAUAUCCAAGCUCACUGGUUGAAGGGCCUUAUAUAAAAG
rnacentral:lncRNA from 1 species